GUAGUGAUGACUAGCAGUACUUCUUUUCUACGGAAAGAAAUAUUAAUCGCAACAACGCGCAUAGUUUACUAUUGUUAUUCCAUCUUUUUUUCUAUUUUACUUUAAUUCUGAGCGAGACCAAUCGAUCGUUCAUUUCUUUACAGAGACGCGGGACAAGAAACUUGAUGUCGUUGCAAGGAAAUAGCAGCAAAGAUGUAGUGUAUGAAAAAAUUAUAUUCAAGCUGCAUCAUUGGUAUAUGACUCAUUCAUCGAAUGCUUAAUCAAGUGUAAUGACAUAUAUAUGUAAGAAAUGUUUCGAACACGUUUAUGAUCUGUGGUGUUCUCUACAUACACGAUAAGACUGAUUGACGAAGAUGGUCUCGAAUUUUCAUUGGCUUUCGAUGAUGACGAUAUGACUGCUUAGCUAGCAGAACGCCGGUCUCUGAUUUCAUGCAUUGCCUCAACAUGCAAUGCUAUGACGGUGAUGAGAACGAUCUUCCAAAUGAACUUCUAUAUGAGUCUUAUUUAGGCAUCAUCGAGAGCAUCUUUACGAUUUUUAUUCCACUCAAAUACCAAAUAAAGGACAUUUCCGGCGGGAUUGCCUUCGUCGCUGAUGAGUUCGGAAGUCGGUAGUCCUCAAAUUAGCUAAUCUUGAUGUCAUCAUUAUCCUUUGAAACGGCAAUCAAAAAAGGUAAUUAUCAUAUUCGACGUAUCGUAAUUGAAAGACUUAUAUCAAUAAACUGACCACUGCAGGAAAGAACAAAGGAUAUGACAUGUACAAGUUCACGUUUCCCAUGGCUUGGCCAAAGUAUAAAGUAGUCUUUCAAGUUAAAAGUAAGAUACAUCUUUGGAUCAGGAUCUAACUAAGCUAAAUAAGGCACAUAUGUAAGUUCAUUUGGAGGAACAUUCUCGUCACAGUCAUAGCAUUGCAUGUUGAGGCAAUGCAUGAAAUCAGAAUCGACGUUCUGCCCACUAAGCAGUUUCACCAUCAUCAUCGAAAACCAACGAAGACUCGAGAUCAUCCUCGUCAAUUAACCAAUUGCGAGAAAUUAACUAUUAUCUUCGUCACAAUUAACAACGAUAACAUCGUGGCUAACAAAUCUAAGAGCUAGUUAGUGGCUUCCGUCAGCAUCAGCAAUCUUUCCAGAGAUAUUCUUUAUUUGAUAUUUAAAAGAAAAAAAUCCCAAGGUACUAUCGAUUAUGCCCGCACACAAACGCAAGAUAAAUCUAUGCACAUUGCGAAUUAUAUAUAACAAAGACAUUCUGGAGAAAUAAAAUUAAUGUAACGAUUUAUUUCAAAUUGAAUGAUUAAUCGAAUGAUUACUUAAUAUCGAAUGAUCAUAUCUUAUCGUGUAUGUAGAGAACACCGGAGAUUUUGAACGUGUUCGGAAAACUUCCUAAGAUGCAUCAUUGCACUUCAUUAAGCAUUUUGAAUAAAUCAUAUACGAAUAAUGCAAUUUAAAUGCAAUUUUCUCGAAAACUAUAACACUACUGCUUCUUUCUCGCUACGAUAUCAAGUCUCUUGUCACCCAUUUCUCGGCAAAGAUAAAGAACGUACAUAUUAUGUCUUUUCUUCGUUUAUAGAAAGCCAAUAGAAGAAUUUUUGAAAAAAGUUCGACAGUGAAUGGAGGGCGAACUGUACGAGCUCUGCUUUUAUCUCGCGGCGAUAUCGAUCGAUGAGCGGUAGG